GGCCGGUGAUGUGAGAAAAAAUAUUUGCUACUCUUGAUGGGAUUCUAACGAAGGAAUUCCCCAGUUGAUGAUUCUUUUCCACCAAGAUCUCUGAGGCC
rfam:Jatropha curcas cultivar GZQX0401 scaffold684_51, whole genome shotgun sequence.